CCAAACCCUUCUCCGAAGUUUCUUGUACAAAGUUCUCUGGGAGUUUUGCCUCUUCAGAUUCUCUUACUACCCACAAGAAGUAACAAUUACUCCUUCUCAAACCCCAACACAGCUCUUCCAUUUGCUCAGCUCCUAGAGUUGCCAGGCUCCCGAAAGACACAUAUACAACUGACCCUGUUGGCUUAUGAUUAAGCCAAUUCAUGCAAGCUUCAUUAUUUGGCUUAAAGAUA
rnacentral:misc_RNA from 1 species